rnacentral:lncRNA from 1 species
CAGAGUCUCACUCUGUCACCCAGGCGGGAGUGCAGUGCGUCAUCUUGGCUCACUGCAACCUCUGCCUCCUGGGUUCAAACGAUUCUCCUGCCUCAGCCACCUGAGUAGCUGGGAUUACAGGCACACGCCACCACAGCUAAUUUUUGUAUUUUUAGUAGAGAUGAGGUUUCACCAUGUUGGCCAGCCUGGUCUUGAACACCUGACCUCAAGUGAUCCACCGCCUCGGCCUCCCAAAGUACUGUGAUUACAGGUGUGAGCCACCUCGCCCAGCUGGGUUAAAAUUAUUUGCUUAUUCUCCUCCUUCCCUGGCUCCAUGAAGGCAAGAACUGAGCCCUUUCAUGGUUAUGUGCCCUGUGCCUGGUACACAGUAGGUGCUCGUUCAGCAUCUCCUGAAUGAAUGAAUGUCUUGCACAUGGAGUCCUAAUGCUCUUCAGCCUGGAUAGGUUGCUGGCUGAACCUGGACUUUGCCUCUGGGUGGGCUCAGCUCUCUCUUCCCCCUGCCCCAGCCCCACCCAGUGGGGACUUACCUGCCCACAAUCAUGAGCUCCUUCUCAGAUGCCCGAGGCCGGAGGUGAUUCCAGAGGUCCAUGGUGAAGAUGGUGCUGGCACUGUUAAAGAUGGAGGGGACUUGAUUCAGGAGUGAAGGGACAUUACCUGUGGGCAGGAGUUCCAGCACGAGUUUGGGAUACGCGAUGUCCGAACAGCCUGAGGGGUUGCUGCAGAUCUUCUGGCAGAUCUCUGGAUCUGCACAGGCCACUUGAUCUACGAAGGAAACACAGGCCCAGAGCUGUGUUCUCACCUGGGAAGAGGAUGCGGCUGACCAUCCCAGGGAACACCAUUAUGAAGAGGGGCAGCACCUUCAGAGGAAGAAAUAAAAUAGCAUGUAGAGCAAUGGAAAGGAGGAAGUAGUCAAGGAAGCAGGGAAAACGCAAAUGAGAGAAGAGAUGGAGGAAGAAAAAAGCACCGACUUCAGCCACCCUAAGGAAAGAAGCAAAGAGAAGGAAAAACUUGCUCAGGCCACUGUCCUGUACCUGAUCCGUGCACCAGUACCAGAGGGAUGGGAUGGACAUUCCAAAUAGGACCCCCGGCCACGGGAGAUCAGAUGUCAGCGGAUCUCGGAAAAUAUGGAAGGCAUCUUCCCGGGGCAGCCCGCAGCUGCUGUUCUCACUCCGGUUGCUAGCCAGGGCCAAGAAGUACUUCUCCUUCAGUCCUUCCAUCCCACCAACCGCGGCGAAACCUAGAAUUCAGAGGAAGCCUAUUUUCCGGGAACUCAGAUUGGUCCAUGGCAAGUGAUGAGGAGAUGGCUGGAGACUGGUGAAAUUCUAGUAGGACCAGAGCCACCAAAAAUGUUAAUCCCCUUAAGGGUUCUUAACCUCCUCCCCACAUUUUUUUAACUUAAAAAAAUUAAUAUUAGAGUUUUAUUGGACUAUAAUUGACCUAACCAUAAAUUACAAAUAUGUAAAAUGUAAAAUUUGGUGUUUGACAUAAGUAUUCACCCAUGAAACCUCCGUCACAAAGUAAUGAAUGUAUCUAUCCAAGUUUCUUUUUUCUUUCUUUCUUUCUUCCUUCCUUUCUUUCCUUCCUUCCUUCUUUUUUUUUUUUUUUUUUUUUUUUUUUUUUUUGAUAUGAAGUCUUGCUCUGUCACCAAGGCUGGAGUGUAGUAGCAUGAUCUUGGCUCACUGCCACCUCCGCCUCCCAGGUUCAAACGAUUCUCCUGCUUCAGCCUCCUGAGUAGCUGGGAUUACAGGCAUGUGCCACCAUGCCUGGCCAAUUUUUGUACUUUUAGUAGAGAUGGGGUUUCACCACGUUGGCCAGGCUGGUCUCGAACUCCUGACCUCAAGUGAUACUCCUGGCCAUUGUCCCAUGCCAUUGUAUGUUAUUUAAGCCCAUUGAAUUCUCCCAAAAAUAAUUUACUACCUCCCUAAAAUCAUCUACACUUGUCCAUCUCCUUUUUCCUUAAGAAGUGCGGUAUAGAAACAUCUGUAUGACAUUAGGAUAUUGAGAAAUCCCUCUGUAAUUCUCCCCUGUGUGUGCUAAUAAAUUUGUAUGCCUUUUCUUCUAUUAAUCUGCCUCUUGUGGGUUGAUUUUCCAGUGAGAUUUCCAGUCUUCCCUUCGCUCCUACAAUUGCUUCUCAGAAGAAUACUUCUAAAUAAUGCAAAAAUACAUAGGAUUGCAAAGAAAUCAAAUAUAUUGAACCAUCAAAAUAUUAAAAAUGUGACAUAGUAAUUUAUUUAUUUGCUCCAUUAAAUUGUAAGACUGGCCAGGCACAGUGGCU